GGGAGGCCUGCACAGGUGCUGCAUGGCUGUCGUCAGCUCGUGUCGUGAGAUGUCCGGUUAAGUCCGGUAACGAGCGCAACCCUCGCUGUAUGUUAUACGUGUCAUACGGGACUGCCGGUAUCAAGCCGGAGGAAGGUGGGGAUGACGUCAAGUCAGCAUGGCCUUUAUGUCUGGGGCUACACACACGCUACAAUGGCCAGUACAAUAGGUUGCAAGACCGCGAGGUGGAGCCAAUCCUAAAAGCUGGUCUCAGUUCGGAUUGCAGGCUGCAACUCGCCUGCAUGAAGUCGGAGUUGCUAGUAACCGCGCGUCAGCUAUAGUGCGGUGAAUACGUUCCCGGGCCUU
rnacentral:rRNA from 1 species